CUUCAACGCUCCUUCAGUUGAAUUGAUGAUUUCGCCCACGUUCUUGGUCUCCAUGAUUGUUGAAAGCUUGACUUCUGGGUGUGCUUGAAAAUGGGCUGAUCCUAAAUCCACAGCUUCCACUUGGACUUCCUAAGCAAGGAAAACAGAAGCAAGGAAAGUGAUGCAGAGGCUAAGAGGAGCCAUUUCUUACCGUCCCAUCUGUUGCUUCUCGUGCUUCGUCUUCGGUCGCCAUUGCUCCAGAUCAGAAUGAGAAGAAGAAGAAGAAGAAAGGAAAAAGGAAAAAAGAAAGAUGGAGUGGCUUCUCCCUGAAAAAGGCUUGUGGGUGCUCGAAAAGCUGGUGGUCUUUAUACCAACCUUUCCUUUGCCCCCUUGUCAAUAUGUUUUCUAUUGCUGAGCAGCGGUUAGGAAGCAGUGACAGACUGACAGUGCUCUUGAGGGGAGUUAGCACUUGCUUAAGUGUAAUCUUGAUUAAGCGGCAAUAGUUAUUCCUGAAACCGCUGAUCAAUGAACAUGGAGAGUCAGCAUUAGGUGCCAAAAUGCCAACUGGUACGUGAGGCACAUGGUUGUGGUGGCUGGACCAGCGUGUCUGUGUUCUUGCAUUGAUGGACCCACAGAACCUUUUCUGUGUGAAAUUAUUGGAUGGAUAAUUGAUCAGGGAGUAUCAUCCUUGGAUCCUUCAUAUCAUUAGCUUCUUUUUUUCCUUUCCUGAGUGCAGCUCAAAAGAAAAGUUUAGGUUUUGGUGUGAAUACUAUUAUCUGCUCAUUUUGUUGUUUGGCUUCGAGUAUUGGGUAAAAAUGAUUGGUUUUACAUGUUCCUUAUGGUUCGAAUUUUCUCCUACUGGUUAGGCUGCCCUUGUAUGUUUUAGUCACUUUCAACUAUUUGUUCAAUUGCUGCGUUCAUCUUACCUCAGAUUGCACUUGGAACACAAGGGAACAAUGGAUUAAAGUUGAUGUUUCUGCAACCCAUAAAAAGUUUAUUGAGAUCAAAUCAAGUGGAAAGCAGAACAGCGUGAAAGUAACUUCGCCUUUGGUGUCCUUACUGUGUUAUGUCUUGUUCUUUCUUUUUUUUUCAAAAAAAAUGAUUCCUUUUAAGUUCAUGUGCCAGACUGCCAGCACAUUGUGUUAGUAAUAUGUCAUUCUUUAUACACCUUGAGUCCUGAUUCUUAAAUGAAGUGAUUGUUGCGGCUUAUGAUCAAUAGCUCUUAACCCGUUCCAGCAUUCAGAAUUAUGGUUCUGAAGUUUCUAACUGUGGACUGAUAUCUGAAGAUUACUGAAGCAUAAUGACAGAGAAAAAUGGUGCAUUAAAAGCCCCAGGAUAUUGAAUUUAGUCAAGUGGCUGCUGCUGACAGUGAUCUGCAGCAAAAGAAUUCCACAUCUUCAACCGCUCUGGACAAGAAAAUACCAAGUUGGCCAGCCCCAAGCGCCACGCAGGAUCCAUCUCACGUGGUCCGAAUUCUUCCAGCAGAAAAAGAAGCCUCGCCGCCACCAGCAUAUCGCUGCGCCGAAAGAAGGGAGCUCACGGCGCCAUUGGAGGAUGACAUGACAUGUUUCUCGUCUCGGCAAAUACUUAUCAGCAAAGCUUCCAGCCGCCCUAGUGCCGCUAUCAGUUCUGACUCGGCACCGUACAUAGAUUCUAUCACUGCAUGGAAAACCUUCAGAGGCUGAUGAUUUUGUUUCCUGGAACUGUUAGCUUUUGCCCCUUGGAAUACAAUCACCAAUCAGGGGCCUUUCAGAUUUCAGACCAAUAAGCAUUUGUCAACGAGUUAAUCAACACAGGCAUUUUUUUUUCAAUGCCAUACAUAAUCGUUCUGCAAUUCUGGUUUUCCUUGUCACCACGGAGUCUGACCCAGAGACGAAAACGACGUUUAUUGUGCAUACCAUACAGUUUCCAUUUUGUUUUUUCAAAAAAAAAUCCAUUUUUAUAUAUGAUAUAUAUCCAAAAUCUGUGAAUUUUUCACACAUGACAUGAUCUGGCAUUGCAGAAAAGGGAAAAGAUGGAUCAGAAAAAAGAGAUGAUGGAUCUCUCUUCUCUCUUCGAAAAGCGGAGGAGUGGUGCCGAAUUUUCGCUGGAUGAAGACAACAGCAGCUGCGAAUAUGAGAAAAGGGAAAGAGAUGGAUCUGAAAAGAGAUCAUGUGGAUCUCUCUUCUCUCUUGGAAAAGCAAAGGAGUGGUGCCCAAUUUUCGCCGGAUGAAGGCAACAGCAGCUGCGAAUGUGAGGUGGUGAUUGGAAAUGAACCCCAGGCCACACCAAGUCGCCAACACCGGCGCCGGCCAUGCUAAAGCCGUAUUGUCUUUUUAUGCCGCCAAAUUCAUAACCACCUACAGUUUUCUCAAUUGAUCCACGUCAUCCAGCAUAGGACACGUCAAUUCAAGCAGUUUGAGGCAGCCCCGGAAUAUUUGAGGACGAUGUGCAGGACAAAAGCCACGUCACAUAAAGUACUCUACUUUUAUUUUUUUAUAAAAAAAGUGCUAAUAUAUUUGAGAGCAUCUUCCAUUGUCAGCUCCUUUGUGGGUGCAAGGGACAUUUUUGUAUCCAGCGUGUCACCAGGACCCACGCGGAAUACGGCCUACCUUGGAAGGUAGGAAGUUUAUUUACAGCCAGGAAUUUUAUGAGAAUCGAUCCAAAAAUUGUAAGAUUCUUGCAAGAUCUCACCAAAAAUUGGUCUAGGAACUUUUUUCUGGUUC